rnacentral:rRNA from 1 species
GGACCAUCAUGUCGGUCGUGCCUCGGUACGUACUGGUAUUGUUGGUUUCUUCCUUCUGACGAACCACGAUGUCCUUUAUUUGGUGUUGUGGGGAACCAGGACUGUUACUUUGAAAAAAUUAGAGUGUUUAAAGCAGGCUCACGCUUGAAUACAUUAGCAUGGAAUAAUUAAAUAGGACGUUUGAUUCUAUUUUGUUGGUUUCUAGGUUUGACGUA